AUGCAAGUCGAGCGGAAAUAUUUAAAGGAGGCCCUUCGGGGUAGAAUUUAAAUAUUUUAGCGGCGGACGGGUGCGUAACACGUGGGUAACCUGCCCCUAUCACUGGAAUAACACACUGAAAAGUGUGCUAAUACCAGAUAAUAUAAUUAAGUGGCAUCACUUGAUUAUCGAAGAAUCUCGGAUAGGGAUGGGCCCGCGUCUGAUUAGCUAGUUGGUGAGGUAAUGGCUCACCAAGGCAACGAUCAGUAGCCGACCUGAGAGGGUGAUCGGCCACACUGGAACUGAGACACGGUCCAGACUCCUACGGGAGGCAGCAGUGGGGAAUAUUGCACAAUGGGCGAAAGCCUGAUGCAGCAACGCCGCGUGAGCGAUGAAGGCCUUCGGGUCGUAAAGCUCUGUCUUAUGGGAAGAUAAUGACGGUACCAUAAGAGGAAGCCCCGGCUAACUACGUGCCAGCAGCCGCGGUAAUACGUAGGGGGCAAGCGUUAUCCGGAAUUACUGGGCGUAAAGGGUGCGUAGGCGGUUUAUCAAGUCAGGGGUGAAAGGCUACGGCUCAACCGUAGUAAGCCUUUGAAACUGAUGAACUUGAGUGUAGGAGAGGAAAGUGGAAUUCCCAGUGUAGCGGUGAAAUGCGUAGAUAUUGGGAGGAACACCAGUGGCGAAGGCGACUUUCUGGACUACAACUGACGCUGAGGCACGAAAGCGUGG
rnacentral:rRNA from 1 species